ACCUGGAUGGCUUAGUCAGUUAAGCGUCUGACUUUGGCUCAGGUCAUGAUCUCCCAGUUUGUGGGUUUGAGUCCCGUGUCAGGCU
rnacentral:tRNA from 1 species